rnacentral:tRNA from 1 species
GUUUCUAUAGUUGAAUGACAACGGCGGUUUUUCAUAUCGUUGGUCCUGGUUGAAGUCCGGGUGGAAAUU